GUGUUCUCCAUCACCACUGUGAUGGCAUCCGCUUCCGUGACUGUCACUGUGCACCCUCCGCCUGUCCUGGGCCCACGCAGGACCCCCAAGCGGGGCUCUGCACAGGCCAGGAGGGCUACCCAGGGACUGACCACGGGUUGUUCAUGGGUCCUCACCUGCUUUUCCAGGUCCAGGGUGAGAGGACGAAUUUGAAGGUAGAAGUCACAGAGUUGCAGGAUGUGGAGUGCGAGGAGUGGCCCCGGGGAAGCAGCUCCAA
rnacentral:lncRNA from 1 species